UACGGAGGGUGCAAGCGUUAUCCGGAUUCACUGGGUUUAAAGGGUGUGUAGGCGGGCAUUUAAGUCAGUGGUGAAAUCUCCAGGCUCAACCUGGAAACUGCCAUUGAUACUAUUUGUCUUGAAUCCUGUUGAGGUGGGCGGAAUAUAUCAUGUAGCGGUGAAAUGCUUAGAUAUGAUAUAGAACACCGAUUGCGAAGGCAGCUCACUAAGCAGGCAUUGACGCUGAGGCACGAAAGCGUGGGGAUCAAACAGG
rnacentral:rRNA from 1 species